UGAGAGUGGGCGUGGUCAGAAGUAUGGCGAUCUGGCUGUUAAGAGGGAUGUGGUGGGAGACGAAAUUUUCAUGAGACACACAGCUCUUGUAAGUGGAAGGACCGGAGUUGGCACAGGGCACACCAAGACCAAGUUCGCAGCACAAAGGAGAUCGGUUUGUCCUAGGGGGACGGAGGGCAGGAAAUAAAAGGCAAAGGCGGAGGACAGAGGAUGAAGAAGAAGGAAAAAGGAACAAGGGAGAGGGGAAGGGAUAUUUACCCCAGGGAUACCAAGGACUGUCUCUAGACAGGGAGGAGACAGACAUGACCCACAGGCAAAUGGAAGUUUAUAAAGGGGAAGGAGGAGCCCCUGGGUUAGGAUGGGCUGGGUUUUUGGUUUUUUUUUUUUUUUUUGAUUGGUCAUGCAAAUUAGGGUAGUCAAAAGGGGGCUUUUGGUUACUGGACUUUUGAUAGCUGGACCUUUCUUCGUAGUCAGCAUCAAGAGGAGGAAGUGGCCAAAUUAGAUCUUGGUGACUAGCUUUAGGAAUGUAAUCUAACGGUUCUUAGCAUGGGGAAGGGUAAAGGCAAAACCUGUCAGCACCAUGUUUGCCAUGUUUGGCCUGCCAGAGGCCUUCAACAAGGCCUGAGAGGUCGCAUUUGCAGGAUUCACUGACGCCUCUUCUAUAGGACACUUUAAAGUAUUAUGUAAAUUGUUUUUUUAACUUUUGAGAUGAUAUAAACUAUGACAUUUCCCUCUUUACUUCCCUCCCUCCACACCCUUCCGUGUCCUCUGCCUUGCCCUUUCAGUUUCAUGUCCUCUUUUGUUCUUAAUUGUCCUUCGUGUGUGUGUGUGUGUGUGUGUGUGUGUGUGUGUGUGUGUGUGUUCCUAAAAGCAUAAAGACAGUUUAUACAGGAUUUUUGAUUGAUUGGUGAUUGAUGGAAACAGGCUCUCAAGUAUCCAAGGAUGACCUUCAACCUAUGAUCUUUCGAAUGCCGGAUUUUCUGGCUUCCUCUUGAGGUGAGGCAGAUUUUACUCCGUCCCUCAUUUGUUGACGUGCAUUUGUUGGGGUGUGGAUGGAACUGACCAAUCAAGGCAAGUCAUCCCUUUCAGCUCGGUGGGUUGCUCCUCAGCGGGGGCAGCCGGCUAAGCCAAUCGCCACUCAGGAGCCCUGCGCUGGCCCUGCUGCGAAGGCUCCUCCUUUACAGCUCACAGUCCGGAGCCACCACCGAUUCUUCGCCGGGACGGAAACCCUCAGCGGAAGACCGAAGAGGAAGUGGGUAUGCAGACGGCGCUCAGUAGAGCUGACGCAGAACUCUGAGAUCAGCCCACCCUGGACUGCUCCGAAGCCAGCGUUGGUUUUCAUCCCUGUGGAUACUCAGCCUGAAGCCUGAUCUUCCGUUCCUGCCCUGAAGGCACGCACCCCCUUCUGCUGUCCACUCCGCCCGCCCGCCUGCCCGCAACUCUCCCUGCCACUUUAUUUCCACACAACUGUUCCCUUUGUGUCGUCUAAACCAAGUCCUUCACAAAUAAAUCAGUCUCGGCCUGGAGCCACACCCACAU